rnacentral:rRNA from 1 species
UACGUAGGGUGCGAGCGUUGUCCGGAAUUACUGGGCGUAAAGAGCUCGUAGGUGGUUUGUCGCGUUGUCCGUGAAAACUCACAGCUUAACUGUGGGCGUGCGGGCGAUACGGGCAGACUGGAGUACUGCAGGGGAGACUGGAAUUCCUGGUGUAGCGGUGGAAUGCGCAGAUAUCAGGAGGAACACCGGUGGCGAAGGCGGCGAUCUGGACGAUGACUGACGCUGAGACGCGAAAGCGUGGGGAGCAAACAGG